rnacentral:rRNA from 1 species
GAACGAAACGGUUCGCCUUAAUACGGUGGGCUAAUGACGGUACCGUAAGAAUAAGCACCGGCUAACUACGUGCCAGCAGCCGCGGUAAUACGUAGGGUGCGAGCGUUAAUCGGAAUUACUGGGCGUAAAGCGUGCGCAGGCGGUUAUAUAAGACAGAUGUGAAAUCCCCGGGCUCAACCUGGGACCUGCAUUUGUGACUGUAUAGCUAGAGUACGGUAGAGGGGGAUGGAAUUCCGCGUGUAGCAGUGAAAUGCGUAGAUAUGCGGAGGAACACCGAUGGCGAAGGCAAUCCCCUGGACCUGUACUGACGCUCAUGCACGAAAGCGUGGGGAGCAAACAGGAUUAGAUACCCUGGUAGAUAGA